rnacentral:rRNA from 1 species
GACGAACGCUUGCGGCGUGCCUAAGAAAUGCAAGUCGAACGGACAGAUCAGCAAUGGUCUGUUAGUGGCGAACGGUCGCGUAACACGUAAGCAACCUGCCCUGAAGUGGGGGAUAACAGUCCGAAAGGAUUGCUAAUACCGCAUGUGGUCGACGAGUGGCAUCACUUGUCGUCUAAAGCCUUGUGCGCUUCAGGAUGGGCUUGCGGCCUAUCAGCUUGNGGUGGGGUAACGGGCCUACCAAGGCUUUGACGGGUAGCUGGUCUGAGAGGACGAUCAGCCGGAUUGGGACUGAGAUACGGCCCAGACUCCUACGGGGGCAGCAAUUAGGAAUCUUGCACAAUGGGGGAAACCCGUGAUGCAGCGACGUCGCGUGCGGGAUGAAGGCAUUCGU